GUAGUGAAUUGCAGGAGUUAAGAAUUAUUUUUGAGGCUGGCUACCAUACCUCCUACAGAGACUACAGGGACUUAAAAAUUUUAAGGAUGCUCAUGAUCACUAGCUAACAUUUUUAAUCAAUGCAUUGAUGAAUUAAUUAUCUUCUGUUCUUGCUCAAGAGACAUACUCUUUUGGUCUUCAUGAUUGUGUUCUUAUGCAAAUAGGCGAUGAGCUCACUCCUGGAACCACAUCAUGAGAGGUAUUUUUCUUCAACCACUGCUGAGAUAAAGUUCUACACAUAAGAACCACUCCUGGAAAAGACACAUCUCUGGGCUGACCAAAGAUCAUAAUCCAUCUCUGUGCAACAUGGAAGACAAGACACCUCUAAGAAAAAACAUGGUACAUUUAAUUGCUUUUGAUAAAUCUCUAGUGUUAAAACUUCAUAGAGAAGGAAGAAGCAGAAGUGAAAAUA